UUCUUAUUCAAUACUUGUACUGUUCUUUUGCUUUUAUGUAUACAUAUAACAGAAAGUCUCCAGGUCAUUCGGGACGCUGAGAAACGCUGGAUAGAAAACAAAAAAAUCUGUCCACAAAAUUCAAAGGCUAAUCAGCCUCAGGCCUCCAAUAAUUCAGAAGACGACGACGCAGAGACAACCUGUGAUCCUUCGGAUCAUGUAAGAUGCAGGCAACACACAUACAUACUUUUUUGUAUAUGCCAUAUAUAUUAUACAUAGUGCACGCAUACACAUAUACAAAUAAGGAGCUUUAUAUAUAUACAUUUUUCCCCUUGUUUGAUGGUUGAGUCAUACUAAUAGUUUUUGUUCACAACAUCAGACAGACGACAAAUCUCAGAUUAAAGAGUUGGAGGAUCACAUCAAAAAGUUAGAGGAAAUAAUUGGAAAGAAGGAUAAGGAAAUAAAGAGACUUCGAAGGGCAAAUUUACUACUACAAGACGGACUGUCAGACACAAUAUAUAAAAGUGUCAAGGAAGCAGUCAAGGCUGUAGCAGUCAUCCAGUUCUUCCAACCAAUUACAG